rnacentral:rRNA from 1 species
AUUGAACGCUGGCGGCAUGCCUUACACAUGCAAGUCGAACGGUAACAGGUCUUCGGAUGCUGACGAGUGGCGAACGGGUGAGUAAUACAUCGGAACGUGCCUGGUAGUGGGGGAUAACUACUCGAAAGAGUGGCUAAUACCGCAUGAGAUCUACGGAUGAAAGCAGGGGAUCGCAAGACCUUGUGCUACUAGAGCGGCCGAUGGCAGAUUAGGUAGUUGGUGGGAUAAAAGCUUACCAAGCCGACGAUCUGUAGCUGGUCUGAGAGGACGAUCAGCCACACUGGGACUGGGACACGGCCCAGACUCCUACGGGAGGCAGCAGUGGGGAAUUUUGGACAAUGGGCGAAAGCCUGAUCCAGCAAUGCCGCGUGCAGGAUGAAGGCCUUCGGGUUGUAAACUGCUUUUGUACGGAACGAAAAGCCCUGGGUUAAUACCCUGGGGUCAUGACGGUACCGUAAGAAUAAGCACCGGCUAACUACGUGCCAGCAGCCGCAGUAAGAC